rnacentral:rRNA from 1 species
CCUACGGGAGGCAGCAGUGGGGAAUAUUGGACAAUGGGCGAAAGCCUGAUCCAGCAAUGCCGCGUGAGUGAUGAAGGCCUUAGGGUUGUAAAGCUCUUUUACCAGGGAUGAUAAUGACAGUACCUGGAGAAUAAGCUCCGGCUAACUCCGUGCCAGCAGCCGCGGUAAUACGGAGGGAGCUAGCGUUGUUCGGAAUUACUGGGCGUAAAGCGUACGUAGGCGGUUAUUCAAGUCAGAGGUGAAAGCCCGGGGCUCAACCCCGGAACUGCCUUUGAAACUAGAUAGCUAGAAUCUUGGAGAGGUUAGUGGAAUUCCGAGUGUAGAGGUGAAAUUCGUAGAUAUUCGGAAGAACACCAGUGGCGAAGGCGACUAACUGGGCAAGUAUUGACGCUGAGGUACGAAAGCGUGGGGAGCAAACAGGAUUAGAUACCCUGGUAGUCCACGCCGUAAACGAUGAUAACUAGCUGUUCGGGCACUUGGUGCCUGAGUGGCGCAGCUAACGCAUUAAGUUAUCCGCCUGGGGAGUACGGUCGCAAGNUUAAAACUUAAGGAAUUGACGG